AAGGGCGCACGGUGGAUGCCUUGGCACUAGGAGCCGAUGAAGGACGUGACAAACGACGAAAUGCCUCGGGGAGCUGUAAGUAAGCACUUGAUCCGGGGAUGUCCGAAUGGGGGAACCCAACAGGUUGAUGCCUGUUACCCAUUUC
rnacentral:sRNA from 12 species